rnacentral:rRNA from 1 species
AUGGCUGAUCGCCCGGCACCGCAGAAGCCUCAGGGCCAUACUCAGUCCUACUCCGUUGAUCCGCACUGGUACAUGGAUUCUGGUGCGACGGAGCAUCUGACGAAUGAGAUGGGGAAGCUUCAUCCUCGCGAGCCCUAUCAUGGUUCCGAUAAGAUCCACACCACCAACGGAGUAGGUAUGCACAUCUCCCAUAUUGGUCAAGCAUCUCUUCUCACUAGUCAUGCCAAUAGGAGGCUUCAGCUUCGUGAUGUUCUUAGAGUACCAUCUGUGACGCGUAAUCUCCUUUCCGUUCCUAAACUCACUUAUGACAAUAAUGUGUUUUGUGAAUUUCACCCGUUUGAUCUUUUUAUUAAGGAUCGGGACACGAGGGCCGUUCUGCUUAGUGGGCGUCUCUACCAGGGCCUUUAUCGUCUGGAGCAUCCUGGAGUCUCUCGGGUUUUCAGUGGAGUUCGCGUCUCAUCGUCACAGUGGCAUGCUCGUCUUGGUCAUCCUGCCACACCUAUCAUUCGUCAUGUUUUGCGUCGUCAUGAGCUUCCUAGUGUCUCUAGCAAUAAUGAUGUAGCAGUGUGUGAUGCUUGUCAGCAGGGGAAGACUCAUCAACUUCCCUUUUCGGAGUCUAGCCGUGAGGUGAAACAUCCUUUAGAACUUGUUUUUUCGGAUGUAUGGGGCCCUGCCCAAACUUCUGUCAGUGGUCAUAACUAUUAUAUUAGUUUUGUGGAUGCUUACAGUCGUUUUACUUGGCUCUAUCUUAUUAAGCGUAAAUCUGAUGCGUUUGAUAUUGUCGUUCAGUUUCAAAAACACGUUGAACGUCUUCUCAAGCAUAAAAUUGUUCAUGUUCAGUCGGACUGGGGUGGCGAGUAUCGCAACCUCAACUCCUUCUUCCAGUCGCUUGGGAUCGCUCAUCGUUUAGCAUGUCCACAUACUCAUCAGCAGAAUGGUUCCGUCGAGCGUAAGCAUCGUCAUAUUGUUGAGACUGGUCUCACUCUUUUGGCCCAUGCAUCGGUUCCUUUCCGGUUUUGGAGUGAUGAUUUUACCACUGCUUGUUUUCUUAUCAACCGUACUCCCACACGUGUUCUCAACAUGAAGACUCCCCUUGAACUUCUCCUUAAUGAACAACCCGAUUAUACUUUCUUUAAAGUUUUUGGGUGUGCUUGGUGGCCGCAUCUUCGCCCUUAUAAUAAACGCAAGCUGGAAUUUAGGUCCAAAAAGUGUGUCUUUCUUGGCUAUAGUUCCCUUCAUAAAGGUUACAAAUGUCUUCAUGUUCCCACUAAUCGUGUUUACAUCUCUCGGGAUGUGGUGUUUGAUGAGCAUGUCUUUCCGUUUGCCAAUCUACCUGUGUCCACAGAUGCUCCUCCGUCCAUGCAUUCAUCCUCUCUUGCCUCUGACCAAUUUGAUGAUGUUGCAUACUCUCCUGUGUUAUUGCCUAACCAUGGUGCAGGAACCGGACAUGGGGCUCGCUUGGAGCUUUUGGAGGACUCCCCAUCAUCAUCGCCGCCGCCCUCUGCUGUGCACGUCGAUCACGCAGCGACGUUGCAUGGCCUCGAUCCGUGUGCCCAUGCACGCUCGGUGGAUGCAACUAAGGCCUCGGCCUCAUCCUCUGAUCGGCCUCGGGCGCCUGCGUCUUCCGCGGAUCGGCCCGCUACGCCGGCCUCGCCCGUGUCUCCAGCGGAUCAGCCCGCUCCGCCGGCCUCGCCCGCGUCGUCAGCGGAUCGGCCCGCUACGCCGGCCUCGCCUGCAGCUCGGCCCACUACGCCGAACUCGCCCAUGGCUCGGUCCACUCCAUCGGCCUCGCCUGUGACUCUGCUGGGUAGUCCACUGGCGGGUUCUGGAUCCACUGAGCCCGCUGUCACGACAGAGGACCUGGUUCCAUCGUCUGCCUCUUCGUCGCCCAGCCCUUCGCCGGCUGCUUCUUCGACCUUGACGGCUCCUGUGUUACGUCCACAUACACGCAGUCGCAGUGGCAUUUUUCGACCAAAGGAGCGUACGGAUGGUACUGUUUCUUGGUUGGCAGCAUGUCUGGCUGCUGCUGUUGCGGAUCCGUCUUCUGAGCCCCGCUCGUAUCAGGCCGCCAUGCGUGUUCCUCAUUGGCGAGAGGCUAUGGAGCAGGAGUAUCAUGCUCUUCUUCGCAACGAGACAUGGACUCUUGUUCCUUCCCCACCACGGGUUAAUGUUAUUGGCUGCAAGUGGGUGUUCAAAGUUAAGAAGCAUUCGGAUGGAUCUAUUGAGCGUUAUAAAGCGCGCCUUGUCGCCAGAGGAUUUCGGCAACGCUAUGGUCUUGAUUACGAGGACACCUUCAGCCUGUUGUCAAGCCUACCACCAUUCGGAUUCUUCUUUCUCUUGCUGUCACUCGCGGUUGGUCUCUUCGUCAACAUGAUGUGCAGAAUGCCUUUCUUCAUGGGUUCUUGGAGGAAGAGGUUUAUAUGCGACAGCCGCCUGGUUUCUCUGAUCCUGAUCGUCCUGAUCACAUCUGCCAUCUCACCAAAGCGCUCUAUGGCCUGA